GGGCUAGUGGUCUAGUGGUUAUGACGUCACGUUGACAUCGUGGAGAUCGGAGGUCCGAUUCCUCCCUGGCCCA
rnacentral:tRNA from 1 species